rnacentral:rRNA from 1 species
GGAGUGCUUGCACUCCUGAUGCUUAGCGGCGGACGGGUGAGUAAUACGUAGGUAACCUGCCCUUAAGACCGGGAUAACUCACGGAAACGUGGGCUAAUACCGGAUAGGCGAUUUCCUCGCAUGAGGGAAUCGGGAAAGGCGGAGCAAUCUGCCACUUAUGGAUGGACCUACGGCGCAUUAGCUAGUUGGUGGGGUAACGGCUCACCAAGGCGACGAUGCGUAGCCGACCUGAGAGGGUGAUCGGCCACACUGGGACUGAGACACGGCCCAGACUCCUACGGGAGGCAGCAGUAGGGAAUCUUCCGCAAUGGACGCAAGUCUGACGGAGCAACGCCGCGUGAGUGAUGAAGGUUUUCGGAUCGUAAAGCUCUGUUGCCAGGGAAGAACGCUAUGGAGAGUAACUGUUCCAUAGGUGACGGUACCUGAGAAGAAAGCCCCGGCUAACUACGUGCCAGCAGCCGCGGUAAUACGUAGGGGGCAAGCGUUGUCCGGAAUUAUUGGGCGUAAAGCGCGCGCAGGCGGUCAUGUAAGUCUGGUGUUUAAACCCGGGGCUCAACUCCGGGUCGCAUCGGAAACUGUGUGACUUGAGUGCAGAAGAGGAAAGUGGAAUUCCACGUGUAGCGGUGAAAUGCGUAGAGAUGUGGAGGAACACCAGUGGCGAAGGCGACUUUCUGGGCUGUAACUGACGCUGAGGCGCGAAAGCGUGGGGAGCAAACAGGAUUAGAUA